rnacentral:rRNA from 1 species
GAGAGAGAGACAUGCGCGCAUAUCAAUAAGCGGAGGAAAAGAAACUAACAAGGAUUCCCUUAGUAACAGCGAGUGAAGCGGGAAGAGCUCAAAUUUGAAAUCUUCAAGGUUUUACCUUGACGAAUUGUAGUUUAAAGAAGUGUUUUCUGCUGAAGUUUUGGUAAAAGUUCUUUGGAAUAGGACAUCAUAGAGGGUGAGAAUCCCGUAUUUGACCAUUAUUUUCAGCUUUGUGAUACACUUUCAAAGAGUCGGAUUGUUUGGGAAUGCAGUCCAAAAUGGGUGGUAAAUUUCAUCUAAAGCUAAAUAUUGGCGAGAGACCGAUAGCGAACAAGUACCGUGAGGGAAAGAUGAAAAGAACUUUGAAAAGAGAGUUAAACAGUACGUGAAAUUGUCAAAAGGGAAGCGUUUGACACCAGUGUUGUUUUCUCGAAAAUCAAUUAAAAAUGGCUCGAUUUUGUAUUGCUUGAGACCUUAAAAGCUACACUGUACAUUUUUCGUGUCUUUUUUAAUGCACUUUUCGUUUAACAAGUCAACAUCAGUUUCUUUUGUUGUAAAAGGGUCAUUGGAAGGUGGCUUUCUUCUCGGAGAAAGUGUUUAUAGCCUUUGGCCUCUGCAAUCGGAGAGACUGAGGUCUGCAGCGUAGACUCUUCGGGGUUAGAUACAUUUGUGCUAAGUUAUAGCUUUUUAUAGACAACUUGUUGACUAUAAUUAGUCUUGUAGCUUACUCGCUUAUGCUAUUUUACCUACGCUUAGGAUGUUGAAGAUGUAGCACAUCAU